AAGUCGUAACAAGGUUUCCGUAGGUGAACCUGCGGAAGGAUCAUUAACACUUAUUAUUAUCCAAUAUCAAAAAUAAAACCAAACGGUCACAUAUCUCAUCCCUAUUUCGCACACCGGAGACGGUACGAUUAGGCUAACAUUUUUUAAAUCUUUUUUUUAAACCCCAUAACAAUUUAUAUAUUAGCUUUAUUGCUAAAUAUAAACAAUAAAACUCUUCGUUAUGUUAAAACACAACGAACUAAACUAAAAUAUACAUUUGAUUAUAUUUUUAUUUUACGAAAUAAUAUAUAUUUAUUAAGAACAACUCUUAGCAAUGGAUAUCUUGGUUCUC
rnacentral:misc_RNA from 1 species